AUCCUGGGGAUUCAAAUUGAAUCAUAUCAAUGAACCAAUACUGUCUUUCAAGUUCCACAUGCAUUCUUUCCUUUCUUUCUUUAAUUCUCAGAGCUUUGAAUUUACAUGUGAUAUACACAUAUGAGAAAAUGGGGCAAUAGAUUUUUGACCAUUUUUUAAAAUGGCAUUGGCUUCCAAAAUUGAAUGACAAUUAGAAAGCCUGUCAAAGUCUAAAUAACUUUGUGGACAAGAAGCUCUUUUAUAUAUCCUUAAUCCACAAGAUUCCUGUGAAAUAUUUUGAAAUAGCAAUCAUUAAGUAAAGAAAAAUUUGUAAUGCUACCUAUAUGUACUUAGUGAUUGUAGUCAUAUCAUAUAAUAUGGCUAUUAACUGUGACAAAAUUAUCAAAUCAUAAAUUACACAGGUAAGAAAUCUAGUCUUAUCCAUUUAUUCACAGUUAAGGAAACAAAACAGAAAAGUCAUGACCUUGUUCCAAGAUGAUGUAUUUUCCCAAGAUGACAUCCCACAAAGUGGCAACUACAGCUGGGACUCCAGACUUCUGCUCAGAAUUCUUUUUCCUGUACUGGACGACAGUCUCAGGAGGGGGAGAGGGGAUAUAGAAUCCUUAGAGUAGAUGUCUAUUUUUAAAUAAUUAUAGAUCCACAGAAAGUCACAAAGAUAGUAACAAGAUGGUACCCUUUUACUUUCCUGCAUUGGUUGCAUCUUUCAAAACUACAAAACAAUACAUUGAUAUUGGUGCAAUGUGUGUAUAAUAUAUCGCAUGUAUAGAUUCAUGUAACCACCUCUGCAAUCCAGAUAGAGAACUGUUCUGUCACCACAAACAUACUCUUCCUGCUACUCCUGUCCUUUAUAACCAAACCUGCUGGCACCCACCAGCCCUACCUGUGAUGACUUAGAGCCCUGUGCUGGAAUUAGGAUUCUUAAAUCCAUUGAAGUCCUUUUCAGCCAUUAUUCUUUGAAUAAUCUUUCACAUCUACAAACGUUUAUCUCUUUUUCUGGGAUUCUGAUGACAGGAAUAGUGAAUCUUUUUGUUAGCCUCACAGGUCAUUGAGAUGCUAUUCAUUUUUUUUUCCCCAGUCUUUUUUUUUUUUUUUUUCCUAUCAGUGCUUUAUAUUGUUCCAUCUUUUAAUUUAUUUGUUCUUUCCUCUGCCCUUCGUGUUCUGCUGUUGAGUCCGUCCUUAGAGUUUUAAGACUUGCUUAUAGAAUUUUUUAUUUUUAAAACAUCCAUUUGGCUCUUUAGAUUCCCUGUUUCUUUGCUGAGGCUUUCUAUUCUUUUGUGUUUCAUCACUGUUCACAAUUUCUUAUUGAAUUAUUUUUAUGACAGCUGCUUUAAAAUCUUUGACCCACAACUCCAGCUUCUGUGUCAGCUAAGGGCUGGCUUUGUGUUUAGGUUGAGAUUUUCCUGUGUCUUGGUUUAAUGAGUGCUUUUGAGAUUAUCCUGGAUAUUUGGGGGUAUUAUGUUAUGAGACUCAGAACAUUCAUUACAUAUUCUGUUUUAGCAGUUCUUUUCUGACACUGCACUGCCUUGUGACUGCCAGGUUGGGGGAAAAGUCCAGGUUUCCAUUCAGCCUCUUUUAACACCUCCUGUGGGGAGGGAUAUUUUAUCACUGCUUAGUGGAGGUGGGAUUUUAAGCCCCCUGCUAAGUCUCGGCUCACACUGCCCAAGUGGGAAGGAAGAGUAGGGCUUCAUUUGGCUAGGGUGGAAAUCCAGAACCUCACUCUUCUGCUUCUCUUUGUAGAGGGUACAGAGAGGCUGGAGGCAUGCCUGAGCAGAGCCUGGCAUGGGUGGGAAUAUAGGUUUGGCCUUUGCUGAUGGGCAGGGAGGUGGGUUUUUCCAUAAUGUUUUGCUAGAGCAUUUUCUGUCUUGGUAGGCUUCCUCUUUCCUACUCCUUUGGCAAGAGAAAGCUGGCUUUUGUGGGUAUUCAUUUCUUUGCCUGUGUCUACUAAUAUUUCUGGGUCACUAGUUUCUCCAGCAACCACUCUGGGAUAUGCGAGGCAAAAAAAGAAAACACAGGGAAACCACUGCCCUAUUGUUCCUUAGAUCUCAGGGUCCUUAGGCAGCCUGCCUCCUGUCUCCAAUGUUAGUCUUCUUACACUUGUUUGAUUUAGGAUGCCAAGGGUUUAAUUGCACUUCACAAGAAGGCCUAAUAGUGUGUGAAUAAACUUCAUCUUUGUCUGGAGCUGGAGGACCCAGGUCGUGUGAGAUACUAUGGAAAUGUGUAUGAUAGAAGCUAUCAACUAAAGAAAGGAAAUGGACAUUGGAAGCUGUUUAAGGUGGUGUUGUAGAUGUUUGUGUUAUUUCACAAAUGUUCCAUAUGAAAGUGGUUGAUAUGUCUUUUAAAGUGAUAAUGUUUUAGUUGACAGGGAUGUAAAAUCUGUCAGAUUACAGAUUGUAAUCAGUGGCUAUUGAGAGAUCCACUCUUCUGUCAGCUCUGAUCCAUAUUAACUGCCUUUAGGUGAAGGAAGAUUUUAUUUGUUGGUGAUGUUCACAUCAUGACUUCUGUGGAACACUGACAUAUGGUCUGCCUAGUUAUAGUUAGCUGUCAGUAGACCCUAACAUUGCGCUCGAUUUCAAUUGCGUUCCUGUUAAUCAUCAGUUUAUUUUAUGUUCACAUUAAUUAAAGAGGGUUUUUUGGUUUAAUAAUAUUUAUGUUUUGAGUGUUUUCUAAAAAGUUAGUCCUUCCAAACUGAUUAAAUAACACCAGCAAAAAUAGACAAUGGUUGUUAUUUCUUUUAGUAAUUAAUAACAGGUUUUCAAAUGUGUUGCAUUUUGAAGAGAACAUGAUGUGAGGUUUUCAAUUAAUCUGCUUCUAUCUCUGGGUAGAUUUAAUUUCUGUUUCAGUUCUCUAUUGCUUUAAAAUAGUCACCUCAGAACUAACUGGCUUAAAAAAAUAAUAAUUUAUUUGUUAUAAGUUUCUGGGUCUGCAGUCCUACCAGGGAUCAGGUGGGUGAUUUUUCUGUUCUAAUCACAGAGCCAGCCUAGGUUCACGAAAGGAGGGAAAAGACUCCACUUUUUGAUGAGAGGAGAGAUCAGAUUUUUUUUUUUUUUUUUUUUUUUUUUUUUGCAAAAGGCAUUUAGGUAACGAGAGAUAUUGUUUUGUGACCCCCUUUAAAUAAUAUGCCAUGUAGACUUACUGGGUGAAAUUUCUUAUUUCAUAAUUUUCAGCUAGAGUUGUUGUUAUGAUAGUAGUAAAAUAGUUUAUUUCUAAAUAAUUAUGAUUAAAAAGGGCAAAUCUGAAAUAAACAACCUAACUUUACACCUCAGGGAAUUAGAAAAACAAACUAAGCCCACAUAUAGCAGAAAGAAGGAAAUAUUAUAAAUUAGUGCAGAAAGAAAUGAAAUAGAGGCUGGAAAAACAAUAGAAAAAGAUGAAGGAAAGUAAGAGCUUUUUUAGAAAUAAGUUUUAAGAAUUUUUAAUUUUUAAUUUAAUUUUUAAAAUUUUUAUUGAAAUUUACACUGUUGAUUUACAGUGUCGUGCUAGUUUCAGGUGUAUAGCAAAGUGAUUCAGUUUUAUAUAUUUUUUCUUUUUUUCCCAUUCUCUUCCUUUAUAGGUUAUUAUAAGAUAUUGAGUAUAGUUCCCUGUGCUAUAUAGUAGGUCCUUGUUAGUUGUCUGUUUUAUACAUAUGUACUUUAACCCCAAACUCCUAAUUUCUCACUCCCCCCUUUCCCUUUUGGUAAUCAUAAGUUUGUUUUAUAUGUCUGUGGGUCUCUUUCUAUUUUGUACGCAAAUUCAUUUGUAUCAUUUUCUUUUUUUUCCGAUUCCACAUGUAAGUGAUACCAUAUGUUAUUUGUCUUUCUCUGUCUGACUUUCUUCACUUAAUAUGAUAAUCUUUAGGUCCAUCCAGUUUGCUGCAAAUGACAUUAUUUCAUUCUUUUUAUAGCUGAGUAAUAUUCCAUUGUAUAUAUGUACCACAUUUUCUUAAUCCAUUCCUCUGUCGAUGGACAUCUGGGUUGCUUCCACAUCUUGAGUAUUGUUAAGUAGUGCUGCUCUGAACGUUAUGGUGCAAGUAUCUUUUCAAAUUGUGUUUUUCUCCAGAUAUAUACCCAAGAGUGGGAUUGCAGGAUCAUAUUGUAGCUCUAUUUUUAGUUUUUUUAAAGACAUUUUAAGAGUUUUAAUUGCUUUUUUUCUGUUGAAUGGUUAGAAUUCCACUCCUUCCUAUGUAACAUGUAUUUUCCAGGCUCUUGACCCUCUCUCCACUGUCCACCAUAUGCUGUGGAGCUGAACCACAGGGCCAGUUUCCUGUGCAGCCAGGCAGAAUCCUGCACUCAAAAGGAACCUAUACUUUGUUUAAUGCACUGCCAUCUCUAUCUUGCGAUUCUUCACAAUUUUGGAACAAGGGCGCUGUAUUUUCAUUUUGUACUAGUUGCCACAAAUUGUGAACUAAUCUUAUUUUUAUCUUUAGAAGGAAAUUUCUACUUCUCAUAGUAUUUAUCUGGCAAGUUUUCAAAUGUUUUUUAAGAUGUAGCUUAAAUCUUACCUUGCCUCUGAAAAUUUUUCUGAUUCCCCAGGUCUACCUGCAGAGGGAACCAGUGGCUUUUUUCUAUGUAUAUCUUGGUUACAUACCACUUGGCAUAAACCUCUAUUAUAGUAAUUAGUUUUUUAUUAAUAUUUGUGUGUACUUUUUUCUCCUCCAUUAGUUGGGCUUAAAAAAUGCCUUAUUCAUUAUCACAUACUUGGUAAAUUCCCAGUGUGUGGUCUAUAGCAUGUAUGGUAAAUAUCCAAUAAAUACUUGAUAAAAGAACAAGUGAAUAGAUGAAUACAAUGUGGUUAUGUAUCCUUGUCUUUAAAAUAUUAUGAGCAGACAUUAUAGAUUUCAAUACCAAGUUAAUUUGUCUGCUGAUAACAUUGUUCUCCUCUUAUCUCUACCAGAACCACUCAGAGAUUUUGCCCAAGCCUUCUAUUUGUUUCUUAUUGGAAAUAUAAAACAUACUGUUACCAGAUAUUCAGUAACCUUCAUGCGGUUCUUACUUGAACUUAAUUUUUUCCUUUAAACUUAACUUUAUCGAGACAGUAAGAGUCAUACACAUAGCUUAACACUUUCUGAUGUGCUAGUCUGUAUGCUUUCAUUCAAUUCAUCUUUGCAAACUCCCCCACAACUAGAUUCUAAGUUCACGGAGAGGCUCCCACUUGUGGCCAAGACAGAGAAAGUCACAGGGACCAAAUUUACCCUCCCAUCUAAAAUAGCCAC
rnacentral:lncRNA from 1 species